rnacentral:rRNA from 1 species
UACGGAGGGAGCUAGCGUUGUUCGGAAAUACUGGGCGUAAAGCGCACGUAGGCGGCGCAGCAAGUCAGGGGUGAAAUCCCGGGGCUCAACCCCGGAACUGCCUUUGAAACUGCAGUGCUAGAAUCUUGGAGAGGCGAGUGGAAUUCCCGGUGUAGCGGUGAAAUGCGCAGAUAUCGGGAGGAACACCAGUAGCGAAGGCGGCUCGCUGGGCCAUUCCUGACGCUGAGACGCGAAAGCUAGGGGAGCGAACAGG